UGAGUUAUUAAAGGGCCGCGGUAUUUGGACCGUGCUAAGGUAGCAUAAUCAAUAGUCUCUUAAUUGGAGUCUGGAAUGAAUGGUUGGAUGAAAUAUAAUUUGUCUGCAAAUAUAGAAUUGAAUUUUACUUUUAAGUGAAAAGGCUUAAAUAAAUUAAGGGGACGAUAAGACCCUGUGAAGCUUUAUUUUUGUUGUGUUUAAAAUUUGAGAGUUAGGUGAUUAAAUUUGAGUUUAAUAAAAAUUAGGUUGGGGCGAUUNAAAUAUAUUAUUAACUGUUUUUAAUAGUAAAAUAAAUAAUUUUUAGGUGUUGAUCUUGUAUUAUAGAUUAUAAGAUUUAAGUUACUCCAGGGAUAACAGCGUAAUUCUUUUUGAGAGUUCUUAUCGACAAAAGUAUUUGCGACCUCGAUGUUGAAUUAAGAUUUCAUCAAGGUGUAGGG
rnacentral:rRNA from 1 species